rnacentral:lncRNA from 1 species
UCUCCUUCUUCUCUCUUCUCUCUCUCUCUCUUCACUCUCUCUACACCGCCCCAGCUCCGCCCACCGCCGCCGGCCGGAAAUUGCCGCCGCCGGCGGACCACCUCCAAAUACCUCCAAAUUCACACCAUGUAAUCUCCACAACUUCCUCCUUACAUAUCUUCAAACCAAAUCUUUCAAAAAUCCCUCAAACUCCUUGAAUCUUAGAUCUAUGAAACUUUCCCGUCACUUUUUGCCCAAAUUCUUGAAGCUCCAACCACUACCACCCCACAAUACUUACAUCAAUGGAUAUAGCUCCUCAAGACCUAGCUAUUUAUGCCAAUUUUACCCUGAAAAUCCGGCGAUCAAAAUCCGGCGAUCUCCCUGAACACCCUCUUUUGGCAUACCGCCAUUUUUCGGCCACUUGAAUUAUAAAAUGGUAAAAAUCCUAUUAUUUUCCAUGGCUGAUUUUUUUAUUUUAUUUUUAUUUUUUUCAGAUUUUUAUUUUGUCUAUUAUUAAUUAUUUUAGCAUUAGUUUUUGAAGUUUGAAAUGUUAAAUUUUCUGUUUUUGCACUUGUUUAAGUAGUAAAAUAGUUUUGUAUUGAUAAAAGUGAGGUAGUGAAAAAUACUUAAGAGUAUAUGGUACUUGUUAGGUUGUUUAUUUGUUGCUGAAGACUCUUUGAGUACAACACUCAAAAGUCAAAUUGUUUGGUAAGAAAAUGUAGAUCUUUGGACAUUGUUUGAAUAAAAGUCUGUCUUUGAAUAGUGGAGAGCAGAUUUGUUUGAAAUACUUGACAAGAUUUGAACCAGAAAGUCUGGCCUUUUGAAUUUAAGAGCAGAUUUUGAAGAAAAAUCAGUCAAAAAGAUUUAUUUUUAAUUUUUUGAAAUAGCUGGUUGUUUUGAUAUAUAGGGGGGACUCCAUCACAUUUGGGGGAGUUUUUGAUAAGAGUCGACACACAAAAAAGAGAAAAAAAUCAGUAGCUAUAGUAUC